AUAGCCUAGGAGAUACACCUGUUCCCAUGCCGAACACAGAAGUUAAGCCCUAGUACGCCUGAUGUAGUUGGGGGUUGCCCCCUGUUAGAUACGGUA
rnacentral:rRNA from 1 species